UAAGAAGGGGGCUAGCGUUGCUCGGAAUGCCUGGGCGUAAAGGGCGCGUAGGCGGCUUACAUAGUUAGGCGUGAAAUUCCUGGGCUCAACCUGGGGACUGCGUCUAAUACAUGUAGGCUUGAGUGUGAAAGAGGGUUGUGGAAUUUCCAGUGUAGAGGUGAAAUUCGUAGAUAUUGGAAAGAACACCGGUGGCGAAGGCGGCGACCUGGUUCAUUACGGACGCUGAGGCGGGAAAGCGUGGGGAGCAAACAGG
rnacentral:rRNA from 1 species